GACGAACGCUGGCGGCGUGCUUAACACAUGCGAGUCGAACGGAAAGGCCCUGCUUUUGUGGGGUGCUCGAGUGGCGAACGGGUGAGUAACACGUGAGUAACCUGCCCUUGACUUUGGGAUAACUUCAGGAAACUGGGGCUAAUACCGGAUAGGAGCUCCUGCUGCAUGGUGGGGGUUGGAAAGUUUCGGCGGUUGGGGAUGGACUCGCGGCUUAUCAGCUUGUUGGUGGGGUAGUGGCUUACCAAGGCUUUGACGGGUAGCCGGCCUGAGAGGGUGACCGGCCACAUGGGGACUGGGAUACGGCCCAGACUCCUACGGGAGGCAGCAGUGGGGAAUAUUGCACAAGGGGCGGAAGCCUGAGGCAGCAACGCCGCGUGCGGGAUGACGGCCUUCGGGUUGUAAACCGCUUUCGCCUGUGACGAAGCGUGAGUGACGGUAAUGGGUAAAGAAGCACCGGCUAACUACGU
rnacentral:rRNA from 1 species